UUUCGCAAUGCCCGAAAGGGUGACGAAGCGACGCCGCGUGUGGGAAGAAGGCCUUCGGGUUGUAAACCACUGUCGGGAGUUAAGAAAUGUAAGGAUACUAAUAGUAUUCUUACUUGACUAAGGCUCAGGAGGAAGCCACGGCUAACUCUGUGCCAGCAGCCGCGGUAAUACAGAGGCGGCAAGCGUUGUUCGGAAUUAUUGGGCGUAAAGAGCACGUAGGCGGCUGUGUAAGUCGGUUGUGAAAGCCUUCCGCUUAACGGAAGAACAGCGACCGAUACUGCAUAGCUAGAGUGCGGGAGGGGAGAGUGGAACUUCUGGUGGAGCGGUGAAAUGCGUAGAUAUCAGAAGGAACGCCGGCGGCGAAAGCGGCUCUCUGGACCGUAACUGACGCUGAGUGUGCGAAAGCUAGGGGAGCAAACGGGAUUAGAUACCCCGGUAGUCCUAGCCGUAAACGAUGGGCACUAAGUAGAGGGGUUUU
rnacentral:rRNA from 1 species